rnacentral:misc_RNA from 1 species
CGAGAAGGCCAGCGGGAUUUGGGAAGACAACUAAAGAAAAUGUUCGAGUCUGUAGGAAUUUUCACUUCCUGUCCAAUCACCGUCCAGAACGUCACCAUUACUGAUUACGUCAUUCAUAUCGGAGAUUUAGACCCUGCAUUGAACGUUAUAGCAGAUGGAGACUACACUAUUCAAACAACCGUUCUACAACCCAGUACCGGAGUACAGUAUGGGUGCUUUGAAUUCGAUGCCACUCUGAAGAGGAAGGAGACCCAUGGACAGGGAUGGUUAUUGGGAAGAAGGAGGCGUAGAAGCGAUUAGUGGUGCAUUGUUGGCAUAUCCGGUGCUUCGACAAACACUGUUCUUUGUUUCAAAAUUCAGUAUCAUCUUAUUAUCUGUAUUUCUUUUUUUUUAUGGAGGGAGGGUGGGGAUGUCAUGCUUUAUAAAAAAAAAAUAAACACCUCAACCUCG